rnacentral:guide_RNA from 1 species
AAAAACAACGCAAUAUUCAGAUAAAGUUAUAUAGAUAGAU